rnacentral:rRNA from 1 species
AGAGUUUGAUCCUGGCUCAGAACGAACGUUGGCGGCGUGGAUUAGGCAUGCAAGUCGAACGAAUCCCAGAGGGCUUGCUCUCUGGGGGAAGUGGCGAAAGGGGCAGUAAGGCGUGGGUAACGUACCUCCUGGACCGGGAUAGCCUCGGGAAACUGAGGGUAAUACCGGGCGACGUAAGCGGAUUGCAUAAUCUGCUUACC